CCUGAUUGUGAAAGCGGCGUCGGAAAUCGACGCGCUCUGAAACAUCAGACCGUUGAACCGCUUUGACCACGGAUGUACUGGCAUUGACGGAAAACGGAUGGAAAGGUCGGGCUUGCCCGGCCUUUUUGUUU
rnacentral:sRNA from 1 species